GACGAACCGUGCGAACGUUGUUCGGAAUCACUGGGCUUAAAGGGCGCGUAGGCGGCUUGCCAAGUCAGGGGUGAAAUCCAGCAGCUUAACUGUUGAAGUGCCUUUGAUACUGGCGAGCUCGAGGGAGGUAGGGGUCUGUGGAACUUCUGGUGGAGCGGUGAAAUGCGCAGAUAUCAGGAAGAACACCAACGGCGAGGGCAGCUCGCUGGGACGGUACUGACGCUGAGACGCGAAAGCGUGGGGAGCGAACAGG
rnacentral:rRNA from 1 species